GGGUGUGAGAGUGAUCUGGCUGCAACAUCUGUCACUCCAUUGAAUGCCAGGCUGGCUUCAUUAGUUCUGGCUGGCUAGGCUAAGUUCUCCUUCCUGCCUUACCUUUCCAUGCGCAUCUCUUCUCUAGCUGCCUGCUCUGUCAAAGAAGGUAUCCUUCUCUAAUAGGGUGGACCAUUCUUCAAAGGCAAGUGUACUUAUCAGGGAAUGGUCCCAUUCAAGAGCCUGUUAUAUAAUCUCUUAGUUCUGACAUGUUUCCCUCUAAAGGAUUAUCUCUAGUGCCAACAGCACGCAGAGUGUCCAAGCCUUAUAGGAAAAGAGGCACAACCUCUGGAAUUAAAGCUUCAACAAAAGGAGUCCGAAGAUUUUCAGA
ensembl:misc_RNA 7SK 7SK RNA